UCGUGAGUUUCGAAGGCCCGAAACGCCGAGCUACGCUCCAGAACUGGCAACGUGGUAGCAGCGCUUCAUACCUGGAAAAUCCGCUUCGGUGCAACUCAAUUCAUCACAGAACUUCGCUCAAAAGCUAGAAAGCUAUUCUGCGCUUUCACUAUAGUGACCUAUGUCAUUGUACGUCUGUGGACUGCGCAGUUCUAAGGCCCAUUCACUAUGCACGCGUAUAACGUGAGCUGCUUCCGUAAAGUCGGCUUUCCUGUACGUUCUUGCUGCUUCGUGGCGAAGCAACCGUGCGGAAGUGGGCGACAGGAGAAAGGAAAGACACCAGGGAAUUUACGCAUUACUGCGCACGGCACGUCGUAAAGUUGCUGUGGAUGGCAAGAUUUCCUUUCACAGCGGCAAAUUUCAUCCCAUAAGAAGGCUGAAGAGAAGAAAAGGACAUUGUAGAACAAUCUAUUUGUCUUUUCUUGAUUCAAUAAGCUCAUUCGAGGCUUAGGAGAGAAGACCUCGUUCACCCUCUACUUGAAACGUAAAGAAAAGAAGAAGAAGAAAAAAAAAGCGGGAAGAGGGGCUUUCAUUUCGUUGACACAUUCGUUAGGUGGGCGGAGAUUCCGGGUAGAAGUUGGCAAGUUCCUUUCUCGACGCGGCAAACUGAGCAUUUAUGUGCAUUUCCCCGAUAUUACCGACUAGACUAAAAUCUUACU